rnacentral:tRNA from 1 species
GGUGGCUCAGUGGUGGAGUGUUUGCCUUGCAUGCAUGAGGUCCUGGGUUCAAUUCCUCAGCACCA